UAAGGCGUUUGAGAGACAUCCGCAG
rnacentral:sRNA from 1 species